rnacentral:rRNA from 1 species
UACGUAGGGUGCGAGCGUUGUCCGGAAUUACUGGGCGUAAAGAGCUUGUAGGCGGUUCGUCGCGUCGAUUGUGAAAACUUGGGGCUCAACUCCAAGCUUGCAGUCGAUACGGGCGAACUAGAGUACUUCAGGGGAGACUGGAAUUCCUGGUGUAGCGGUGAAAUGCGCAGAUAUCAGGAGGAACACCGGUGGCGAAGGCGGGUCUCUGGGACGGUACUGACGCUGAGACGCGAAAGCGUGGGGAGCGAACAGG